UUUUAAAAUUUUUCUCUCCAAAUAAUUUUUUUUUGCUAUUUGUAUCAACGUUGAUGAAACCACUGAGUUCACCGUCCGAGUUGCCGCUUCCGACCGACUCGGUAUCCAACUUGUCGACUCACAGCAAACUAUUUGUCACCGACGACAAACCGGAGGAACCGCCACAAGUUUCGUUUCCACAGAGGCAGUGAAGGAACCGCCGCAAGAGUUGAAUAAGGUGGUGGGAGUGGGAGUGAAACGCAAAAACGACGACUCUGAACACGUUGUUUGUCAGUUAUCAUUCAGGAGGAAUGUGACUGUCCAAGAUUUGAAAUGGAUGACAUUGGUGUCAAUUAGGGAGUACUAUCUUAGAGAUGGAAAACAGCUUCCCACUACUCAAGGGAUAAGUUUAUCUUCUGAACAAUGGUCAACCUUCAAGAAUAGUGUUCCUGCCAUAGAGGAAGCUAUCACAAAGUUGGAAGGAAGGAUAAGGUGAGUGAGUAUUCAAUGUUGACUGCUGAGCUGGGAAAAAUACAUGAAUUGUGAAUUUUUCUGAGGUCAGAAUGAUGUUAAUCACACAAGUGUCAAAGUAUGGUUGAGGGAUCCACAGAUAUGCAGAAUCCUGUUUCCCUUCUUUCUCUGCAUACUGAUGGGACACUAACUGCCUGAUAUUAUAUAUGAUACUCAAUUUUAUAUUUUAGUUGGAGAAUUUUUUGCACUUUUUUGAUUAAAAUGCAGAACAGGGCAUAAAAUGGCAGUCAAAAUGGGCAUAAAAUGGCAGUCAAAAUGGGGAAAUUUCAAGUUCAGUUGUUGAUAUUCAGCCUGUUGUCCCUAUUGAGAUUGUCCGUUUUGAUGGGAAGAAUUACCAACUUUGGGCUAAACAGAUAAGAUUACUCUUGAAACAGUUAAAGAUUAAUUACGUGCUUAACAGACCAUGCCCUGGGCCAUUUAUCUGAUAGUCUCUUCAACAAGUAUGCACACAGAAAAAUGAGUGCUAGGAAAAGAAAAAUAAACGCUAGAAGGAGGGGUUGAACCUCCGACCUUGUGGUUAACAGCCACACGCUCUAACCAACUGAGCUAUUCCAGCUUGACAUUUAUGAUUUUAUUGAUUUUUAUAUAGCUUAAGAUACUGGAUGAGAUAGUUUUCCAAAAUUAUUGGUGAAGUGAAAGUUUAAACAAACUCGAUGAAAGCCUUGAGUGUUUUACUUAAGAGGAGUUGAAUAAAACAAUGAAAGUUUUUAAUAA